UCUAGGUCCUGCUGUUCACUAAACAAAAAGCCAAUCACUGAGACAAUGAGUAUUGCCAGGGAAGAAGCCUUUAAUUGGGUGCUGCGGCCUGGGAGAUGGGAGAUCAGUCUCCAAUCCAUCUCCCUGGCCAACUAAAAUUAGGGAUUUAUGUGACAGGAAGAAAAGUAACCAUGUAUAGGAAAACAGGAAUUAGGGAGGGGUAAUGAAGCAGAGUUCAUCAAUAGGAAGCAGAUGGUUGGUUAGUUAAUAAUGGCAGGCGAGGGAUAUAACAUCUCAUUGUCCAGCUGUGUUGAUCUGGUGCUGGAUAUUAGACCUUCGUCAGACACAUAGACCAGUGGAACAGAAUAGAGAACCCAGAAAUUAGAUCACUCAUCUUCAACCAUCCAAUCUUCGACAAACCUGACAAAAAGCAAUGGGGAAAGGACUCCCUGUUCAAUAAAUGGUGCUGGGAGAAAUGGCUGGCC
rnacentral:lncRNA from 10 species